rnacentral:snRNA from 1 species
UGGUUUCUCUUCAGGUCACAUAAAUCUUUUACCUUUUACUAAAGAUUUCCGUGGAGUAGAACAAAAAA